GACGAACGCUGGCGGCGUGCAUAAUACAUGCACGUAGAACGGAGCGGCGGACGGGUGAGUAAUGCCUAGGAAUCUGCCUGGUAGUGGGGGAUAACGUCCGGAACCGGGCGCUAAUACCGACUACUAUCAGAUGAGCCUCGGUCGGAUUAGCUAGUUGGUGGGGGAAAGGCCUACCAAGGCGCCGAUCCGUAACUGGUCUGAGAGUAUGAUCAGUCACAGUGGAACGUAGAAACGGUCCAGACUCCUACGGGAGGCAGCAGUGGGGAAUAUUGGACAAUGGGCGAAAGCCUGAUCCAGCCAUUCCUCGUGUGUGAAGAAAGUCUUCGGAUUGUAAGGCACUUUAAGUUGUGAGGCGUUACCAACAGAAUAAGCACCGGCUAACUUCGUGCCAGCCGCCGCGGUAAUAC
rnacentral:rRNA from 1 species